UACGUAGGGUGCAAGCGUUGUCCGGAAUUAUUGGGCGUAAAGAGCUCGUAGGCGGUCUGUCGCGUCUGCUGUGAAAUCCCAGGGCUUAACCCUGGGCCUGCAGUGGGUACGGGCAGACUAGAGUGCGGUAGGGGAGAUCGGAAUUCCUGGUGUAGCGGUGAAAUGCGUAGAUAUCGAGAGGAACACCUGCGGCGAAGGCGGGUUGCUGGGCUGACACUGACGCUGAAGCGCGAAAGCUAGGGGAGCGAACGGG
rnacentral:rRNA from 1 species